GUUUAAGCUCUUUGAGUCAGGCUGAUGACACUGGUUUCCAAAGGUACUUUCUAAAAAUCAUUUCUGCAGCAGGAAACCAAUGUCUAGACUCAUGGGCAGAGUCAUGGCACACAUCUUGGUUCCCUUAGUGGAGAUCCUCAACACCUGGCCAGUGUCUUGGAGUCCACUGCUGGCCCACCUAUGCCAGGGCUCUCUGGUUUUGCAUAUCUCGAGCUGGAACGGUCCCUGUAACCUGGCCUGUUUGUUGUGGAUCUGCCUGGAGCAUCCAGGAAGGACCUGUUCUCCUCCUCUCUGUUACCUCCAAAUGUUCCUCCUGUCACAUCCCCUGCCCCCAUCCCUUAGUCCUCUCUCUGCUAAGUGGCCAGAGUCCUUAGUCAUCUUUGAACAUGAUGUCCAACAAAACUGUUUUUGGGGGCAGAGUGCCCAGGUCAGUCCCCAGGACUGUGUCAAGGAUCAGCAGCACCAGAACUACGAUAAGACAAACAAGUUGCCUGGGAACACACUCAGCCCUCGGAGAUGCGGGGAGAGUGCAUCCUUUCCUGUACUUUGUUGCCUUA
rnacentral:lncRNA from 1 species